UACGUAGGGAGCAAGCGUUGUCCGGAUUUAUUGGGCGUAAAGAGCUCGUAGGCUGUUUGGUAAGUCGGAUGUGAAAACUCCGGGCUCAACUCGGAGACGCCAUUCGAUACUGCCAUGACUAGAGUCCGGUAGGGGGGUGUGGAAUUCCCAGUGUAGCGGUGAAAUGCGCAGAUAUUGGGAGGAACACCAAUGGCGAAGGCGGCUCACUGGCUCGUAACUGACGCUCAGGCGCGACAGCGUGGGGAUCAAACAGG
rnacentral:rRNA from 1 species